rnacentral:rRNA from 1 species
UGCCUCAGUAACGGCGAGUGAAGCGGCAACAGCUCAAAUUUGAAAUCUGGCCCCAGGCCCGAGUUGUAAUUUGCAGAGGAUGCUUUUGGUGAGGUGCCUUCCGAGUUCCCUGGAACGGGACGCCAUAGAGGGUGAGAGCCCCGUCUGGUCGGACACCGAGCCUCUGUAAAGCUCCUUCGACGAGUCGAGUAGUUUGGGAAUGCUGCUCUAAAUGGGAGGUAUAUGUCUUCUAAAGCUAAAUACCGGCCAGAGACCGAUAGCGCACAAGUAGAGUGAUCGAAAGAUGAAAAGCACUUUGAAAAGAGAGUUAAAUAGCACGUGAAAUUGUUGAAAGGGAAGCGUUUAUGACCAGACUUGGCCCGGUUGAUCAUCCAGCGUUCUCGCUGGUGCACUCUGCCGGUCCAGGCCAGCAUCAGUUCGUCGCGGGGGAUAAAGGUUUCGGGAAUGUGGCUCCUCCGGGAGUGUUAUAGCCCGUUGCGUAAUACCCUGCGGUGGACUGAGGUCCGCGCUUCUGCAAGGAUGCUGGCGUAAUGGUCAUCAACGACCCGUCUUGAAACACGGACCAAAGGAGUCGUCUUCGUAUGCGAGUGUUCGGGUGUAAAACCCCUACGCGUAAUGAAAGUGAACGCAAGUGAGAGCUUCGGCGCAUCAUCGACCGAUCCUGAUGUUCUCGGAUGGAUUUGAGUAGAGCAUAC